UGACCAGCGACUUAGGUCCUCACUGCAGCUUUCAGGACUGGCCAGGAUCUAAAGUCUUCACUGAAGCUUUAAGGACUGACCAGCGAAUUAGGUCUUCACUGAAGCUUUAAGAACUGUCCAGGGAGCCAGAUAAGAUAAAUCUAUUUGCACACUUCAGGGACAGGUAAAGCUUCCUUUCCAAUUAGGGUUAGUAGAAUUUUUUAGAUUUGUUACAUUUUAUUGAAGAGGCCCAGGCCUAAAAUUGUAAUCUUUUUAUCUUUUUUAGAUACACUGUUUCUUAACACUUGGAUGGAUUAUAUUCACUUUACUCAGCGUGUCUACAGCUUGCUUAUGGAUGUUACUUAUACACUUUGUAUGUUUGUUAAUAAUUUUAAUAUUUUUAGCACUAUAUAUUUGUUAACGCAAGCUGGAAGGUGUGAUUUUCAAUUUUAUAUGCUAAUUUAUGGUAAUGCGUCACCCUUUAAAUUGUCUGCACAUGAUCACUGUAGUAUGCUUGAUAAAGGGGCUCGCCCUGAAACGUUGCACGUCCACACUUAAUAAACACAAGGGGUAACCCUGCAUAAAGUUC